rnacentral:rRNA from 1 species
UACGAGAGGCCCAAACGUUAUUCGGAAUUACUGGGCUUACAGAGUUCGUAGGCGGCGCGGAAAGUGGGGUGUGAAAGCCCUCGGCUCAACCGAGGAAUUGCGCUCCAAACUACCGUGCUUGAGGAAGCUAGAGGUGAGCAGAACUGAUGGUGGAGCGGUGAAAUGCGUUGAUAUCAUCAGGAAUACCGGAGGCGAAGGCGGCUCACUGGGGCUUUUCUGACGCUGAGGAACGAAAGCCAGGGUAGCGAACGGG